AGAGUUUGAUCCUGGCUCAGAUUGAACGCUGGCGGCAGGCCUAACACAUGCAAGUCGAGCGGAUGAUGGGAGCUUGCUCCCGGAUUCAGCGGCGGACGGGUGAGUAAUGCCUAGGAAUCUGCCUGGUAGUGGGGGACAACGUUUCGAAAGGAACGCUAAUACCGCAUACGUCCUACGGGAGAAAGCAGGGGACCUUCGGGCCUUGCGCUAUCAGAUGAGCCUAGGUCGGAUUAGCUAGUUGGUGGGGUAAAGGCCUACCAAGGCGACGAUCCGUAACUGGUCUGAGAGGAUGAUCAGUCACACUGGAACUGAGACACGGUCCAGACUCCUACGGGAGGCAGCAGUGGGGAAUAUUGGACAAUGGGCGAAAGCCUGAUCCAGCCAUGCCGCGUGUGUGAAGAAGGUCUUCGGAUUGUAAAGCACUUUAAGUUGGGAGGAAGGGCAGUAAGUUAAUACCUUGCUGUNUUGACGUUACCAAUAGAAUAAGCACCGGCUAACUUCGUGCCAGCAGCCGCGGUAAUACGAAGGGUGCAAGCGUUAAUCGGAAUUACUGGGCGUAAAGCGCGCGUAGGUGGUUUGGUAAGAUGGAUGUGAAAUCCCCGGGCUCCACCUGGGAACUGCAUCCAUAAC
rnacentral:rRNA from 1 species